UAAAAACAAAAGCAGCACUUUGAGACCGUUUCAACACAAGCGCUGAAGGGUACAUUUCAUAUGUGAACCGCAACGCCUCGGAACCUGCCUUCUGGAGAUGGAGAAAUUUGAGGCCCGAGGAAAAUGGUUGCCAUGGAAGAUCUGGGAGAGACCAGGUUGUUCUUGGAUAGCAAAGCAGGAUUGCAGACACACUCACACUUCACUGAGAAGUGAAGGAAAUGUUCUGCCUCCUCUGUGGGUCCGUCACAAACCCACCCAGGCACUCCCAGAGCCACGCACAGCGACCUGCUCAAAUGUAAUUCAGAGUGAAGCUGUUUAUCAUCCCACGGAUCGAGGCCUGAUGAAGCCAACUGAGAAACUUGUGGUCUGCUCCUCUAACUCAAAGCUUUUAGGAGCAUCGGCCACCCAAGAAGGGUGACUGAGUCCUACUUCUGUACCAACUAAUGGCAUGACAUCCCAGGUGAGGAGGUGAGUUCCAGCAUGUUCUGGACAUGUGAGCUGUGCUUGUGGGCCUCAGUCCCUUCCCACCUCAUGUGGCAAGCUCAAUGGUUAACACAAGGCUCCCAGAGGCCUUUGCCACAGUACUAAAGUUAGAGAUGUCUCUA